rnacentral:lncRNA from 1 species
CUUUUGUCUCUGAGGACUUGACUUGGGCUUGUUUCAGAGACUGGUCAAUGCACUUGCCCCUACUCUCACUUUGGAAAAAAAUGCACUUCUGGGUUUUGAGCUGACUGCAUUGAUUUGAUACAUGUUUAAUGGCUGAGCACUCCCUUUGAAGGUGCUGUUAUUAGGGAAAAAAAUAAUAACACUUUUGUCUGUGAGGACUUGACUUGGGCUUGUUUCAGGUCAAGGCACUUGCCCCUACUCUCACUUCGGAAAAAAAAGCACUUCUGGGUUUUGAGCUGACUGCAUUGAUUUGAUACAUGUUUAAUGGCUGAGCACUCCCUUUGAAGGUGCUAUUAUUAGGGAAACAAAUGAUAACACUUUUGUCUGUGAGGACUUGACUUGGGCUUGUUUCACGAACUGGUCAAGGCCCUUGCCCCAACUCUCACUUCGGAAAAAAAUGCACUCCUG